rnacentral:rRNA from 1 species
GCGGAGGGAUCAUUACUGAGUUUACGCUCUACAACCCUUUGUGAACAUACCUACAACUGUUGCUUCGGCGGGUAGGGUCCCCGUGACCCUCCCGGCCUCCCGCCCCCCCGGGCGGGUCGGCGCCCGCCGGAGGAUAACCAAACUCUGAUUUAACGACGUUUCUUCUGAGUGGUACAAGCAAAUAAUCAAAACUUUUAACAACGGAUCUCUUGGUUCUGGCAUCGAUGAAGAACGCAGCGAAAUGCGAUAAGUAAUGUGAAUUGCAGAAUUCAGUGAAUCAUCGAAUCUUUGAACGCACAUUGCGCCCGCCAGCAUUCUGGCGGGCAUGCCUGUUCGAGCGUCAUUUCAACCCUCAAGCUCUGCUUGGUGUUGGGGCCCUACAGCUGAUGUAGGCCCUCAAAGGUAGUGGCGGACCCUCCCGGAGCCUCCUUUGCGUAGUAACUUUACGUCUCGCACUGGGAUCCGGAGGGACUCUUGCCGUAAAACCCCCCAAUUUUCCAAAGGUUGACCUCGGAUCAGGUAGGAAUACCCGCUGAACUUAAGCAUAUCAAUA